rnacentral:rRNA from 1 species
AUUGAACGCUGGCGGCAGGCCUAACACGUGCAAGUCGAACGGUGACAGGAAGCAGCUUGCUGCUUCGCUGACGAGUGGCGGACGGGUGAGUAAUGUCUGGGAAACUGCCUGAUGGAGGGGGAUAACUACUGGAAACGGUAGCUAAUACCGCAUAACGUCGCAAGACCAAAGAGGGGGACCUUAGGGCCUCUUGCCAUCGGAUGUGCCCAGAUGGGAUUAGCUAGUAGGUGGGGUAACGGCUCACCUAGGCGACGAUCCCUAGCUGGUCUGAGAGGAUGACCAGCCACACUGGAACUGAGACACGGUCCAGACUCCUACGGGAGGCAGCAGUGGGGAAUAUUGCACAAUGGGCGCAAGCCUGAUGCAGCCAUGCCGCGUGUAUGAAGAAGGCCUUCGGGUUGUAAAGUACUUUCAGCGGGGAGGAAGGGAGUAAAGUUAAUACCUUUGCUCAUUGACGUUACCCGCAGAAGAAGCACCGGCUAACUCCGU